ensembl:miRNA mir429b microRNA 429b
UCUAUACUGCAGUAAAAUCCUCUGAUUUGUGUCUUACCAGGCAAGUUUAGAUGUUGAUACUGUGUCUAAUACUGCCUGGUAAUGCCAUCAAUCACUGGGAAUUUGAUCGC